rnacentral:rRNA from 1 species
GACAGAGGGUGCAAGCAUUGCUCGGAAUUAUUGGGCGUAAAGGGUACGUAGGCUGGUAUGUAAGUUUGUGGUGAAAUCUCGAAAGGUAAAUUCGAAACUGCUGCAAUACUGCAUAUCUAGAGAAUGGGAGAGGUAGAUGGAAUUUCUGUAGGAGGGGUCAAAUCCGACGAAUCACAGAAGGAACACCAAAGGCGAAGGCAAUCUACUGGAACAUUUCUGACGCUGAGGUACGAAAGCGUGGGGAGCAAACAGG